GACUGGGUGGGGAGAAAGAAAGAGUGAAAGCAAAUAGAUGAUAUUUUAAGUCACAAACUGUUCUGAACCCCUUUUAAAGCAAGAGGAAUGGAACAUUUAGAUUUGAUAUCCUGGCCUCAGCCAAUCUGAAGCAGCUUUUCACCUGCCACUGCCUUUUUCUCCAAUGAAAAUGUGUGUUUGGAGUGAGAGCCCUCCCCAGCCAAUCAUGUGCAAGCUCAGGCACUCAGUUAAUGAUGCAGCAGUACAGGGAAGACUAUCACAUGUGAGCUGGAAGACUGCCAACAUGGAGACACGGAGAGAGCAAGAGAAAGCAACGCUAAGAUUUUGAUGCCUGUGACUUUGCACCUUGAGGUCACCAACAGCAGAACUGUGCUGGUCUCAGGAGAGGACUCGGGCCACCAAAACACACAAGUAAUCACUUCAAUAUGAGCUAUUUUAGAGCACUUCAUGCCUGAAAGUGACAUCUGUUGUGCGCAGAUGCAUGAAAGAACAAUUGCAAACUUCCAAAUGCGAAAACUGCAGAGAUGCAGAGCUCAAAAUGCAUGGGAGGAAAAGGCAAAUUCAGGAGUGUUGGACAGUUACAAGGCACUUCCAAGACAGCAAGAGGUCUGGUAUAACUUCCCUGAUGCCUAUGGUUAAGCAGUGCUCUUCCUGCCUUCUUUUUCUAAAUGAUUCAUUUAAUUGUUUGCCUCCCUCCUCAAAUUCAAAAAGCAGUUUCUGCAACGCUAAUCUGUCAAACAGGAUGUCUGAUGAGUCUGGGCAGAGGAAUGGGGGGGGGGCUUCCGCUGGCUCUCUGAGUGACUGUAUUUUGCUAGGUAAAACUUUUAAAAAAAUGAUGACAAAUGAACCACAGAGGACAAGAAACAGUGUUCUUUUUACUGAACUUAAUCUCCCUUUUUUUGCUGGUAAAGCCAGUAUUAAAAGCAGACAUACACAAGAUAUGUGAAGCACAACCUUUAACAAAUACAGAAACCUCUGAUACUGUGCUUUUCCCAAGAAUCACAGUAAGAGUUUCGUGAUCUGCCUUUUGAGAAACGCUGCAACGCAUCAGAAGAUGCUAAAGAAAAAGAAAAUGACUGCCAUGCCUUCACAUGUCUUAUGAGAACAAACUGUUCCCAAAACUGAAACAUGCCCACAUACUUCUUUACUCAUACCGAGAAUGCAACCUGUAAUGCACAAAUUAUAGGGUAAAAGGUACUAUGGUGUUCCCUUGAGCUGUAACAUGGGAGAAUGCCAGCAACAGUACUGGUGAAUACUAGCUACAAAGAGACAGAGGCAUGCACUGCCAAUCAGUGCCAAGAUUAUUUCAAGUAUCCACUAUGGUUACAUUUAUAUGGAAAGCAUACAUCCUUUUGUAUUCGCGAAGGCUUUCACGGCCGGGAUCUAAUGGUUGUUGUGGG